rnacentral:rRNA from 1 species
GAUGAACGCUGGCGGCGUGCCUAAUACAUGCAAGUCGAGCGAACGGACGAGAAGCUUGCUUCUCUGAUGUUAGCGGCGGACGGGUGAGUAACACGUGGAUAACCUACCUAUAAGACUGGGAUAACUUCGGGAAACCGGAGCUAAUACCGGAUAAUAUAUUGAACCGCAUGGUUCAAAAGUGAAAGACGGUCUUGCUGUCACUUAUAGAUGGAUCCGCGCUGCAUUAGCUAGUUGGUAAGGUAACGGCUUACCAAGGCAACGAUGCAUAGCCGACCUGAGAGGGUGAUCGGCCACACUGGAACUGAGACACGGUCCAGACUCCUACGGGAGGCAGCAGUAGGGAAUCUUCCGCAAUGGGCGAAAGCCUGACGGAGCAACGCCGCGUGAGUGAUGAAGGUCUUCGGAUCGUAAAACUCUGUUAUUAGGGAAGAACAUAUGUGUAAGUAACUAUGCACAUCUUGACGGUACCUAAUCAGAAAGCCACGGCUAACUACGUG